rnacentral:lncRNA from 1 species
AAAAACCCAAAAUAAAUAGAAAUAAAACCCAAAAAAAUAAUAACAAUCCAUUUACAAUAUGGCCCAAUAUGCCCAAAUCAGAAAAGCCCUAAUGGCUCGAUAAGCCCAAUAGCCUAAACACAUUUUCAAAAAAAAGAAAAAAAAAGAAACCCUAGCCCCCUAAUGCUAUCGCUCCUCCUAUGUCAGCACGCUGCCACCGUCGCAUGCGCACAGGCUCCCUCACGCGUCUGAUGCCAUCUGCUACCACCUACAAAACAAAUAAAUGCGCAACAACAGAAGAACCAAGCAGAAAAAACAAAAAAAAA